AUAUGUCCUCGUUAGGUGAGGCUCCUAUACGAAUAUAGGCCACUGCCCGGAAACAUCGAGAGAUGCCAAUGGGUAGAACAGGGAUUGCCGGAUUAAGGCUUUUCAUAAUGUGGCUAAGAGGCAUGUGCCUCUUUACGUUGUAUAGUGCCAAAACUGUACCAGGGGGAACGGUG
rnacentral:sRNA from 2 species